rnacentral:snRNA from 1 species
AGCCAUGUGGUGAGCACAGAGCGAACUAUUCUUUCGCCUUUUACUAAAGAAUACCGUGUGCUCGCCAUGACCAGUGGCAUACGCCAAUUUUUGGAGGAGCUUCGUCAACUGAGGAAGCU